rnacentral:lncRNA from 1 species
AAGCGUCAGACAGCACAUGAGCUUCUUUGUGAUCAAAUGGGAUGUGUCCUGUUGUUUGCAUGACUGUGUCUAUUCAGCCACGUGCCUUUUGUAAACUGAUAGUGUUCUUAAUAGUCAAGGGUAAAAUGGCGUCUUGAAGGGUUUCUCCUCACAUAUUAAAGCCUUUUGGUCAUUGAUAUGCAGCCUUUGUGAAUUGGAAAGCAUCAGCACUUUGUUCUCAGUGUCUCCAUCUCCUCACUUCGUUGCCAUCAUCUUCUUCCUAAAUGGUGCGUGUUGGCUUGAGUUCUUACAAGGAAUGUGCUACAGAUGGAUGGCUGGUGAAGGAAGCAGGACUAUGGAACGGGGCAGGGUGGAUGAUGAUGGUACAAAUCCUCUGGGUACCGCUUGGUCAGGGAACUCAUGGGCCCGUGUCCAUGAAGAUAGGCAGAUGGAGGAGGUCAGUGCAGGGAUGUGGCUGUGGUAAGGUGUCCACCACUUCUCACUGACCAUCAGAAGCUUCUCUGGAAGUAGAUUCCUUGAGCUGUUAUGGUUCAGUGCACCUGAAAGGCAGUUGAGGAGAACUCUGAAGGUAUUCAGCAGCUCCGGAGCCAUCCAUUCCCCAAGGAAGAAGUUCAGAAGCCCCCUGAGCCCAGGGCUGCGUGCUACACCGAAAUGUUCAAUCCUGCAUUUGAAUAAGCUGAAUCAAGCCAGCCAUACUGCUAAACAUAUGCAUGGAGGCUUCUUACAUAAACGAAUGUUGCCCUGAAGCACUUGUAGUGCAGUUGUUACUGCCUUGUGUUAAUGGAGAAGGACCCCAAAGAGAAUGGAGUGUAAGCCCUGCCCGUCGUGCGGGAGCCCAGCAGAUGGAGCAGUGUUCCUGUGCAUGAGGCAGUGCGGGGCUGCAUCCAGAGCUGCACUGUGCAGUCGAGCCGAUCUCCCCCUGAGCAUCUGUGAAGCAUGGAGUAAAAGUGGUGGAACUGAGCUCUGCUGCUGUGAAAGCACAGCCCGGCCGGGUUAUGUGCUGAGGGCUCUGUCUGCCCGGUUAAGGGCCAUGAAUCUCAGCUGAUGUACUCAGGGAGAUUGACUGCUGAGCCACCCUCAUGCAACGGCUGUAUUUUUUGGUUAAAAAAUCCCAGCUUCUAAAGCAUUUCCCAAAGUUGGGCCUCUGUGCCCUCUACCUGCCUAUGAAGUCAACAGGAUUCCUGCUGCUGGCACUGCUGGGUGCAGCCUGCAGCCCUCAAAAGCGAGCGUGAGUAUUUGGUUUGUACACGGAAGCAGGGUUAUUUGUGUAGGGGAGGGUCCUGAUGUUUGCUCACAUGCAAAAACCCUGUGUGAUACACAGUGCAAAACACAUGGAAAAGAGCAGUCCUGUGAAUUGCCAGGAGUUUGGUAAUUAAUAAUUGCAAAAUGCGCGCUCCUUGCAGAGGAUCUCACGAGGUUUGGAAGCACAGAGACUGUCAGUGAGGUGGGAGCUGAGUGUUAAGCUCCCCAAAGGGCCUGGAAAUCCCGGCCUGCCUGUGGGGAGUGGGUUGAAAUUGUGUUAUCUGUUGUGAAACCUCCGGAGCCUGCAGUGCUGUGCUGAUGAGAGGCAUUGCUCAGCCUCUGUUGCCCGUGAGGCUUCUGACUGGGGAAGCACAAAUGAAGGAGGUGGCUAAAAAUGAAAUAAAACUGGUAAGAAGAUGUAUGGG